rnacentral:rRNA from 1 species
CACGUAGGAGGCGAGCGUUGUCCGGAAUCAUUGGGCGUAAAGAGCGCGCAGGCGGCUUGGCAAGUCGGGUGUGAAAUCCCGGGGCUCAACCCCGGGACUGCAUUCGAUACUGUCAGGCUAGAGGUAGGUAGGGGAGAUCGGAAUUCCUGGUGUAGCGGUGAAAUGACGCAGAUAUCAGGAGGAACACCGGUGGCGAAGGCGGCCUGCUGGGCAGUUGCUGACACUGAGGCGCGACAGCGUGGGGAGCAAACAGG